rnacentral:rRNA from 1 species
UACGAGGGGUGCUAGCGUUGUUCGGAAUUAUUGGGCGUAAAGAGUACGUAGGCGGUUCGGUAAGUUGAAUGUGAAAGCCCAGGGCUCAACCUUGGAAUUGCAUUCAAUACUGCCAGACUAGAGUAUGGUGGGAGAUAGUGGAAUUCCUAGUGUAGGGGUGAAAUCCGUAGAUAUUAGGAGGAACAUCGGUGGCGAAAGCGACUAUCUACGCCAUUACUGACGCUGAGGUACGAAAGUGUGGGGAGCAAACAGG